UGGGGAAUAUUGCACAAUGGGGGAAACCCUGAUGCAGCGACGCCGCGUGAACGAAGAAGGUAUUCGUAUCGUAAAGUUCUGUCCUAUGGGAAGAUAAUGACAGUACCAUAGAAGAAAGCUCCGGCUAAAUACGUGCCAGCAGCCGCGGUAAUACGUAUGGAGCGAGCGUUGUCCGGAAUUAUUGGGCGUAAAGGGUACGCAGGCGGUUUAAUAAGUCGAAUGUUAAAGAUCGGGGCUCAACCCCGCAAAGCAUUGGAAACUGAUAAACUUGAGUAGUGGAGAGGAAAGUGGAAUUCCUAGUGUAGUGGUGAAAUACGUAGAUAUUAGGAGGAAUACCAGUAGCGAAGGCGACUUUCUAGACACAAACUGACGCUGAGGUACGAAAGCGUGGGGAGCAAACAGG
rnacentral:rRNA from 1 species